AUUGAACGCUGGCGGAAUGCUUUACACAUGCAAGUCGAACGGUAACAGGUUAAGCUGACGAGUGGCGAACGGGUGAGUAAUGCAUCGGAACGUGCCCGAUCGUGGGGGAUAACGCAGCGAAAGCUGCGCUAAUACCGCAUACGAUCUGAGGAUGAAAGCGGGGGACCGUAAGGCCUCGCGCGAUCGGAGCGGCCGAUGUCAGAUUAGGUAGUUGGUGGGGUAAAGGCCCAGCAAGCCAACGAUCGGUAGCGGGUCUGAGAGGACGACCAGCCACACCGGAACUGAGACACGGGCCAGACGCCUACGGGAGGCAGCAGUGGGUAAUUGUGGACGAUGGGCGAAAGCCUGAUCCAGCCAUUCCGCGUGCAGGAUGAAGGCCCUCGGGUUGUAAACUGCUUUUGUACAGAACGAAAAGGUCUCUCUUAAUACGGAGGACUCAUGACGGUACCGUAAGAAUAAGCACCGGCUAACUACGUGCCAGCAGCCGCAGUAA
rnacentral:rRNA from 1 species